UGGUGCAGGCAGCUCUAGAGCUGAGCUGGGGGCCAUGUGCUGGAGCAAAGCACCCACAAUGGAUGCGGUUGGGGAACCUGCCCUGGCCUGGUAUCUCUGGAUGCCUGGUGAGGCUAUGCUGGUGUGUGGCACUGGGCUUCUACUGCAUGAGGAAGGAACAGCAGGAACCUCUGCAGGCUCUGGCUGCCUCCCUUGUGGUGAUAGAGGCAUGAGGCAUUUUUGGGAGCGAUCUCACAGUGGUGCACCUUGGGGCCAGGCUCUGCUUGAGCUGCGAGCCCAGCGCCUGGAGAGCGCAGCUCGGAACGGCACCGGGGUGGGAGCUCGUCGAACGCGCCCGGAGGCGACACCUGCGCGACCCCGCAGUGGGGAUGGCACUCGGCGGCUCGGGUCCUUCCCGGGGCAGAACUGGCUCCAGGCAGCAGCCCAGCCCGGAGCCUGCCGCAGCCCCGCCUCGGGGACACUCCUGCCUGGUGAUCGCUUAGCUGCUGGCAGGCAGCAGAGCUGCGGCGCUGGGGGACGCUGUGGUGGCUUGCCCCAGUGCCCCAGGGCAGAGGUCAGCCCGGUCCCGGUGGAGCUGUGGUCUCUGCCUGCG